AAAAUAGUAGAAUUUAUGUGAAGUCCGGAAGAAGUGGAAAAGAAAAUAACAUUAAAAUAUUUUGUAGAACCGACACCAGUUUGCAGGGACAUUCCCGUAAAGGAAAAGUGAUUUUACACAAAAUCCAUUAAACACACACAUGACGGCAGACAUCAGUAAAAUGAAUUGAAAUACAGGGGCAAAUUCGGAAGAAAUGAUGAACGACACCUGCCUGCUUAUUGACGUUUAUUAUAUAUAAGAUAUAUAUAUAUAUAUAUUAAAGGAUAGAUGCUAUAUUUAAAAAAU